GACGAACGCUGGCGGCGUGCUUAACACAUGCAAGUCGGACGGGAAGCCCCUGCAAUUGUGUUUUGCGUGGCGGGCGAACGAGUAAGUCACAAGUGAGUAACCUUCGGUUGGCUUUGGGAGAACGUCAGGAAACUUGGUCUAAUAUCGGAUGGGGGGUCCUGGGGCAUGUUGGGGGUUGGAAAGGUUCGGCUGUUGUGGAUGGGCUCGCGGCUUAUCAGCUUGUGGGUGGGGUAGUGGCUUACCAAGGCUUUGAGGGGUAGCCGGCCUGAGAGGGUGACCGGCCACCUUGGUGCUACGAUACGGCCCCCAAUCCUCCGGGGGGCAGCAGUGGGGAAUAUUGCACCAUGGGCGGAAGCCUGCUGCAGGAACGCCGCGUGCUGGAUGAAGGCCGUCGGGUUGUAGUCCACUUUCGCCCGUGAAGAAGAGGCAGUGGCGGUAAUGGGUAAAGAAGCACCGGCUAACUCCGUG
rnacentral:rRNA from 1 species